UACAGAGGGUGCAAGCGUUGUCCGGAAUCACUGGGCGUAAAGGGCGCGUAGGCGGCCUGAUAAGUCGGGGGUGAAAUUCUGCGGCUUAACCGCAGGACGGCCUUCGAGACUGUCGGGCUUGGGCACGGUAGAGGCAGGUGGAAUUCCCGGUGUAGCGGUGGAAUGCGUAGAGAUCGGGAGGAACACCAGAGGCGAAAGCGGCAUCCUGGGCCAAGCCUGACGCUGAGGCGCGAAAGCGUGGGGAGCGAACCGG
rnacentral:rRNA from 1 species